rnacentral:sRNA from 1 species
UCAUUAGAAGUAAGUCACCAGACCAGUCCACACUCAAGGGGAGGGGAUUCUUAAGGGCAUGAGUAUCAGGAAGUAAGAAUCACUGGGACCAUCUUAGAGGCUGUCUACCAGACUCAGUUUACAGCUUUCCCAGGUAUCAUCCCCUUAAAGAUCUCAACUAAUUUCUCAUCACCUUCCCUCCUAAAGACACAAAAAAUCCAAGUUCACUGAUCCUGGAAUGGGGAACCUCACCUACAGCAACCCCUCCUACCGAACAUCCACACAGGAAGUGAAGAUUGAAGCAAUCCCCAAACCAGCCAUGUACAACCAGCUGUGCUAUAAGAAAGAGGGAGGGCCUGACCAUAACUACACCAAGGAGAAGAUCAAGAUCGUAGAGGGAAUCUGCCUCCUGUCUGGGAAUGACGCUGAAUGGGAUGACCUCAAGCAACUGCGAAGCUCACGUGGGGGCCUCCUCCGGGAUCAUGUAUGCAUGAAGACAGACACAGUGUCCAUCCAGGCCAGCUCUGGCUCCCUGGAUGACACAGAGACGGAGCAGCUGUUACAGGAAGAGCAGUCAGAGUGUAGCAGUGUCCAUACUGCAGCCACUCCAGAAAGACGAGGCUCUCUGCCAGACACGGGCUGGAAACAUGAACGCAAGCUCUCCUCAGAGAGCCAGGUCUAAAUGCCCACGUUCUCUUCCCUGCCUGCCUGUUCCUUCUCCUUUAUGGACGUCUAGUCCUUGUGCUCGCUUACACCGCAGGCCCCCCUUCUGUGUGCUCGUCCUCCUCCUCCUCCCACCCCAUAACUGUUCCUAAGCCCUCAUCGGAGCUGUUUACUACGUGAGUCCAUAACUACCUGUGCACAAGAAAUGAUGGCACAUCACAAGAAUUUAGACCUGGAUUUUACCAUGAACCUCACAUCUUGUACUCCGUCCUGGGCCCCCUGAAACUGCUUAUUCAUGAUUCCUCGCCAGCAUAGAGGUCCACCUCCCCUUCCCCCAGUACCCUCAGUGCCUGCUUCUCAGUGCUGAUGCAGCUGAUGACCCAGGACUGUGCUCUGCCCCAUCACAGCCAGCAUGACUGCUUCUCUGAGAGAACUUGCCCAUCAGGGGCUGGGACAAGGGGGUGUGGGUAAAGACAGGGAUGAAGGAUAGAGGCUGAGAGAAGAAGGAAGAGUCAGCCCAGCAGGUAUGGGCAUCUGGGAAACCUCCAGCCUCAAGUGUGUUGGUAACAUGAAAAAGCUUUUGGGGGUAGUUGGAUCUGGGUGUCUGGUCCAUUGCUGGCAGUGGACAUUAUUCUUGCCCUAAGAGUCACUGCCUUUUCAGCAGUAGAUACUGGUGAGAUGGGGGUGGCUCAGGCUGUUCUUCCUCCUGCUAGAAUGUCUGGAGCUGUUUCUAUAUUCAGAUAACUGGGGUCCCUAUCACGAGGCUACUGGCUAACAGGAAUUCCCUCCUGGUGCCACCACUGGCCAGUACCUUUCCUAAGUCUUUGCUCAAAGUAACCAGGUUUUGAGCCAGUGGCUUGAGUGAAUGUUAGGCCUUGGGGGCUGAGUCUCUGAAAAGUCUAAGAAGCUCUGCCUAGACCAAAUAUGGUAUACCACCUGAACCCUCUCUCCCUCAUGCCCUGGGAUUCUGGGGAAGAGACCUAGAAACAAGCUUUCAAAGAAAAACCAGAAGUUGUCAUAAAUGGUCAGAAAGAACGAUCAGGUUGGAGACUUGGGAAACCCAGGGCCUAAACAGAAGUAUCCAUGAGGGUCAAACUUCCUGUCGAACUUCCUGUGUUCUUUCUCAAGUGCUCAGGGAUCUAAGUUAGUGGACAGCGAGCCUGUGGCUAUGGGGUGAUGACGUUCCUCUUACAGCUGUCUCCUCAGCUAAGGGGCUUAGUUUCCGUGUGGGAUGGCAUCACCUGGUUCAUGCUCAUUCACACAAAGGGCACGUGUCUCAGCCUAGUAUCAGGGAAAUUGAGACUUAUUUUUGCCCUAAAACAUCUCCCUAGCUGUUCUUCGUGGGGUUGUUUUGUUUGUUUUUUUGCCUAAUUUGCUUUUUCUGACCAAGCCUUGUGGCACCAGCAAUCUCCAAAGUCCUGUGGUGGGAGGGCCGAAUAAAUAAAGAUGCAAAGAGGUGGGCAAGGAGUAGGAAGGUAGAGAGCACCACUGAUGAGGCCCUCCUAGCCCAUGGCAGACCCAGACCUCUUCUCCCCCAGGAAUUAGAAGUGGCAGGAGAGAAUAACAGGGGCUGGGAAUGGAGGGGAGAAUUUCUAGGGGAAGUUUCCUGAGUUGAAACUUCUCCUGUGGUUGCUGGUAUUGAGAAAUCAGCUACCAAACAUGGGUGAAAAAGGACAAGAUCAAUUCUUUUCUAGUUAGUUCUAAGACUGCUAGAGAGAGAUACCAGGCCCUUAGCCUUGCUCUCAGUAGCGUCAGCCCCAGUUCUCAGCCUCCCCACAUUACACUUGACAAGCAGUAGAGGGAGCACUUUGGGUACUUAGACUCAUGUCUGGGGAGGAAGAACAAGUAGAAAAGUGGCAUUUUCUUGAUUGGAAAGGGGGAAGGAUCUUAUUGCACUUGGGCUGUUCAGAAUGUAGAAAGGACAUAUUUGAGGAAGUAUCUAUUUGAGCACUGAUUUACUCUGUAAAAAGCAAAAUCUCUCUGUCCUAAACUAAUGGAAGCAAUUCUCCCAUGCUCAUGUGUAAUGGUUUUAACGUUACUCACUGGAGAGAUUGGACUUUCUGGAGUUAUUUAACCACUAUGUUCAGUAUUUUAGGACUUUAUGAUAAUUUAAUAUAAAUUUAGCUUUUCUUAA